rnacentral:rRNA from 1 species
GUGAGUAACGCGUGGGUAACCUGCCCUAUGCAGGGGGAUAACACAGCGAAAGCUGUGCUAAAACCGCAUAAAGCUUAAGAAUCGCAUGAUUUUUGAGUCAAAGAUUUAUCGGCAUAGGAUGGGCCCGCGUCUGAUUAGCUAGUUGGUGGGGUAAAGGCUCACCAAGGCGACGAUCAGUAGCCGACCUGAGAGGGUGAUCGGCCACACUGGAACUGAGACACGGUCCAGACUCCUACGGGAGGCAGCAGUGGGGAAUAUUGCACAAUGGGGGAAACCCUGAUGCAGCAACGCCGCGUGAGUGAAGAAGGCCUUCGGGUCGUAAAGCUCUGUCCUAAGGGAAGAAUAAAUGACGGUACCUUAGGAGGAAGCCCCGGCUAACUACGUGCCAGCAGCCGCGGUAAUACGUAGGGGGCAAGCGUUAUCCGGAAUCAUUGGGCGUAAAGGGUGCGUAGGCGGUCAAUAAAGUCAGGGGUGAAAGGCUACGGCUCAACCGUAGUAAGCCCUUGAAACUUAGUGACUUGAGUGCAGGAGAGGUAAGUGGAAUUCCUAGUGUAGCGGUGAAAUGCGUAGAUAUUAGGAGGAACACCAGUGGCGAAGGCGACUUACUGGACUGUAACUGACGCUGAGGCACGAAAGCGUGGGGAGCGAACAGGAUUAGAUACCCU